rnacentral:rRNA from 1 species
AUUUACUGUGAACUGUAUUAUUAUUUGACAUUUGAGGGAUGUUCCAAUGUUAUAAGGAUAGACAUUGGAAAUGUUAACCGAGUCAUAAUCAGGUUUAGGCCUGGUAUCCUAUUAUUAUUUACCAAAUGAAUUCAGAAUUAAUAUUGUAACAUAGACCUAAAAAAUCUAUAAAACAACUUUUAACAACGGAUCUCUUGGUUCUCGCAUCGAUGAAGAACGUAGCAAAGUGCGAUAACUAGUGUGAAUUGCAUAUUCAGUGAAUCAUCGAGUCUUUGAACGCAACUUGCGCUCAUUGGUAUUCCAAUGAGCACGCCUGUUUCAGUAUCAAAACAAACCCUCUAUCCAACUUUUGUUGUAUAGGAUUAUUGGGGGCCUCUCGAUCUGUAUAGAUCUUGAAAUCCCUGAAAUUUACUAAGGCCUGAACUUGUUUAAAUGCCUGAACUUUUUUUUAAUAUAAAGGAAAGCUCUUGUAAUUGACUUUGAUGGGGCCUCCCAAAUAAAUCUUUUUUAAAUUUGAUCUGAAAUCAGGCGGGAUUACCCGCUGAACUUAAGCAUAUC